CGCCCAGCCAAGAUUAUGUUUAAAUGUUAAGUGAAAAAGGAACAUAAAAUGGAUUCAAUUCCUCGAGGGCUAUUAGACUGAGGGCCUGAGUUCCUCACUGGCUGUUGGCUGGCGAACACUCUCAAUUCCUUGCUAUAUGUGCCUCUCCAACAUGGCAGCUUGUUUCAUCAAAGCCAGCAAAAGUGGGAGGAAGGAGGAAGGAAGAGACAGAAUGAAUCUGCUAGCAAGAUGACAAUCACAAUCUUCUGUAACAUAAUCACAGAAGUGACAUCCCGUCACUUUUGCUGUAUUCUAUUGAUUAAGACAGUUAUUUUACCUGCACUCCAUAGGAGGGAUAAUUACACCAAGGCAUGAAUACUCUAUCCAAGGCUAACAUGAAAUUUACAUAUCUCAGUUCUGUCAAUGGGAAUUUUUAUGUGUUUCAAUUGCAUUUGUAAGCUAACUGAAUAGUUCUUUGGAUCUGGAUCUGUUGUUAGCUUGUAUUUCUUCUUAACGUAAUCCAUGUUAAGAAAAAUGCAGUUGAGUACAGAAGAAAUCACCUAAUAUUCCACAAAAGAUAAUAAAAUUCAAAUUGUUAUGUAAUAAAUCUAAUGCUUUUUUCAUGAUCUCAUCCUUUACAUUUUAAUGGUUCCCUGAACUGAAUUCAGAUAUUCACCUUUAUAUUCUGCAAGUUAUUAUGGCUUUUAAGAACUGAUAUCAGCUGGGCACGGUGGCUCACGCCUGUAAUCCCAGCACUUUGGGAGGCCGAGGUGGGCAGAUCACAAGGUCAGGAGAUCCAGACCAUCCUGGCUAACACGGUGAAACACCAUCUCUACUAAAAAAUACAAAAAAUUAGCCGGGCGUGGUGGCGGGUGCCUGUAGUCCCAGCUACUCAGGAGGCUGAGGCAGGAGAAUGGCGUGAACCCGGAAGGCAGAGGUGCAACAGAGCGAGACUCCGUCUCAGAAAAAAAAAAAAAAUUGACAUCAUAGUAAAUAUUUACAUACCAGUAGCCAUUUAGACAUUAAUGUGCAUCAGAAUCACCAGGAAAGCUUGCUAAAAACAAAAGUUCUGAAGCCCCAUUCAGGGGAUCUAUGUUGGGACCCAAGAACUUUGUAUGAAUCCACAUUUUCAAGAAAUCCCCUGGUGAUUCUCACACAGGUGGCAGAUUAGCAU
rnacentral:lncRNA from 10 species